ensembl:lncRNA
GACAGAUAGUAUGCUGAGUAAAGCGGCCACUAUGGAGAUCCCUAUCAACCGUAACGGAGACACGAGGACGCUGGCGGAGGAUGACAGCCUUGAACAAGUUGCUAAGCUACAGUGGAGCUUAGAUGAGAAGGGGCACACGUGCUCCUUGUAAAAAAACAAAACAAGAAGAAAACAAAAAAGACCCACUUUAUUACAGAAUCCUGUGAAAACAAAUCGUAUUUUAGGCUAAAAGAGGGCGACGCCAUAGAGAAUGAUAGAGCACUCUUCUUUGUAUCCGUCCCAUUAUGGUGUCUGUUAGAGCACAGGCAGGGCCAUUUGAGGUCAACUCCAUUUUGAAGUAGUCACUUUUUGUUCUUCUACUAUUUCUAUGAGUUGGUAAACAAACUGAAAAUGUGCGUACUGCCCCCUGGAGGGUGUUGUCUGAACAGGUAUAAAGGAUGGUGAUUUACUGCCCCCUGGAGGGUGUUGUCUGAACAGGUAUAAAGGAUGGUGAUUUACUGCCCCCUGGAGGGUGUUGUCUGAACAGGUAUAAAGGAUGGUGAUUUACUGCCCCCUGGAGGGUGUUGUCUGAACAGGUAUAAAGGAUGGUGAUUUUCAGCCCCCUGGAGUUAUGGAAUGUUUCCUCACGAGUAUAAUUCAUUGGCUGAUCCUUCCUGGUGUGACCUGGAUGGAAUCAUGUGAUCCUUCCUUAACCCAUAGGAAGUCCCACCCAGUUGACUACUUCAAAAUGGUGUAAGUCCUCAACAGCGCUGCCCCAUGCUCGAACUUCCUUUAGGGUAAUAGAGUCCUGAAUUUGUCUUUAUGGGCAAACACAUGUUGGUUUGAGAGACGUUCUUCUGCCCCAGUGGUUCUAAACUAACUACAACUCAUAGACCUUGUUCAACAGGUUUUAUUCUGAACAUGAAAUCCUUUUUUUUUUUGAAGUGCUGGGUAGUGCCGUUGUUCCAAUGGGUUUACUGCUUCGUGUGUGUGUGUGUGUGUGUGUGCUUGUUAAUACCAGGGGUUUCCUACCAGUAGCUCGCAGGCGACCUUAUGAGAAAUCUGAAAGUACAUCUUCCACUGCAAACGGUCAUGAACAAAUCUCACAAGUAUCAGACACCACAAGCUACUAUCUAAUGUUUUAUUUUAUUUUUUU